GGGCCGUUAGCUCAGUUGGUAGAGCAGUUGGCUUUUAACCAAUUGGUCGCUGGUUCGAGCCCAGCACGGCCCA
rnacentral:tRNA from 1 species